rnacentral:rRNA from 1 species
GAUGAACGCUGGCGGCGUGCCUAAUACAUGCAAGUCGAGCGAACGGACGAGAAGCUUGCUUCUCUGAUGUUAGCGGCGGACGGGUGAGUAACACGUGGAUAACCUACCUAUAAGACUGGGAUAACUUCGGGAAACCGGAGCUAAUACCGGAUAAUAUUUUGAACCGCAUGGUUCAAAAGUAAAAGACGGUCUUUCUGUCACUUAUAGAUGGAUCCGCGCUGCAUUAGCUAAUUGGUAAGGUAACGGCUUACCAAGGCAACGAUGCAUAGCCGACCUGAGAGGGUGAUCGGCCACACUGGAACUGAGACACGGUCCAGACUCCUACGGGAGGCAGCAGUAGGGAAUCUUCCGCAAUGGGCGAAAGCCUGACGGAGCAACGCCGCGUGAGUGAUGAAGGUCUUCGGAUCGUAAAACUCUGUUAUUAGGGAAGAACAUAUGUGUAAGUAACUGUGCACAUCUUGACGGUACCUAAUCAGAAAGCCACGGCUAACUACGUG